rnacentral:rRNA from 1 species
UACGGAGGGUCCAAGCGUUAUCCGGAAUCAUUGGGUUUAAAGGGUCCGUAGGCGGUUUUGUAAGUCAGUGGUGAAAACCCAUCGCUCAACGGUGGAACGGCCAUUGAUACUGCAAGACUUGAAUUAUUAGGAAGUAACUAGAAUAUGUAGUGUAGCGGUGAAAUGCUUAGAGAUUACAUGGAAUACCAAUUGCGAAGGCAGGUUACUACUAAUUGAUUGACGCUGAUGGACGAAAGCGUGGGGAGCGAACAGG